UCCAAUUGGUUUUGGUUCUUAUUGGAGAUCAUAUACGAUACAAAGGACAAAAUAUCGAGUCAACAGUGGAUGAGGAAUCAUCUGCGGUUCCCAGGAGAAAGACUUUUGCUCCUCUAUGCCCCACAUGGUGAUUCAUGUUAUCUCUCUUUCCAUUUUUCAACUGAAAAAAAUAAUUGUAAGAUAGAACGGAUCCAACAAAAGUUUACCUUGCAGAUGCGGAGGAUCCUGCGGAUCCAUGUAUAAACUGUACGCACAUGGGCCCCGAGUAAUCUGGUACCGCGGAAUUACGAGUGCCACAUGUUUGAUAAAAAGUUGUUACGAAGA
rnacentral:lncRNA from 1 species